rnacentral:rRNA from 1 species
UGUUACUCUAGGCGUUAAGUACAAGCCAGCUUAGUGGUUUUGCCGGGCAACUACGUUCUAACGAGUAAAAGCCAAAGUACCUGGCGGUUUAAGAUAUCUCGUCUCGUGAGACUUGACGGUUAAUCCGAUGAUCCGCGUUACACCCUACCCGUUUUAGCGAGUGGUCCUACAGUUGGUGUAUGGUCGUUGUCAGCUCUUGUUGUGAGGCGCUGAGGAAUGGAAGCAUAAUUCGUUGGAACCGCUAGUAUUAUGAGGGGGUGGACUGUGGAACGCAGUGUUUAGAACGAGUGAAGUCAGAUCGUUAUGCCGCCAAAAAAUGGGGCUUAGUUGAGUCACAUUGAUUAGAUCAAACGGAAACUCUCUUGAAAUAGGGGGUGGAAGAAGGAGUGAGUAGUAGUAGGGAAAUAGUACGUCUCUACGAAUAGUAAAUUCUUAAGUGUACAGAUCGCC